rnacentral:lncRNA from 1 species
UUAUAACAUUUGGCAAAAGGGUGCUUAAUGAAUCAUAACAUUGAUUCAAGUGUAUAUGAUCAUAACCUUUGACAAAGGGGUGCUUAAUGAAUCAUGGCAUUGAUUCAAGUCAAAGGGGUGUUUUCUCUCAUUUGAAGAGUCAUAUAAUGCACUAUAAAUGCUUGGCAUUUGUGCAUUAGUUGGACACACAACAACACACAAUUUUGGACAGAAUUUUG